GUGAAUCAUCGAAUUUUUGAACGCAAAUUGCACUCUCUUCGGAGAGUAUGCCUGUUCGAGGGUCAGCCUAAAAAAAAUCGACAUAGUUGCUGUUUCGCGUUGCCUUUCGUCGGAAUUUGGGUCAUCUUAACCCUUUGGGUUUUAAGCGGCUUAAAUUUUCCUUUCCAAUUCCCCGACCGUUCCUAAGAUUUUACUUCUUACACACUUUUAGGGUUCCGUUCUUUUUUCUCCUUGCCCUUU
rnacentral:misc_RNA from 1 species